rnacentral:ncRNA from 1 species
CAUGACCGGAAUUAAAAGGGAAUGCAGUGAAAAUCUGCAACAGUUCCCGCUGCUGUGAGUUCCUUAAUGUGUUUAGCACUCUUUGCCACUGGAUCAAACCGGGAAGGCGCUAAACAGGGACAAGUCAGAAGACCUGCCGUUACGGUUU